rnacentral:lncRNA from 10 species
GUCAUGUUGGUCAGGCUGGUCUUGAACUCCUGACCUCAGGAGAUACGCCUGCUUCAGCCUCCCAAAGUGAUGGGAUUACAAGUGUGAGCCAUCAGGCCCCGACUGUUUUUUGAAUUUUAAAUAAUAAGCAAGAGCUGCUAUUUUUUAUUUGUCCAUUUUAAAAAUGAUCUGUAGACUUCCUAACAUGACACGGGCAAUUUCUUGUACACAUACAUGCAAGCAAGCACACGUGUACACAACACAGAUUUCCCUCUCCUUUUUCUUCCAGUUUAGUUUUAAUUUUCAGGUAAGUCAAUAUUACAUGUUUACACGAUUUCUACUAUCGCGUUUAUAUAUUCAGUAGUUACGUGUUCUGUGGUUGUGUUUCUUUUGUUUUUCAUCAUUUUUAGUUUCUAGGAGUUAGUAAUUGCUUAGUAAUUACUAGGCAAUUUGCUCAGUUUGCUUGGUUGUCUAUGUACCUAUCAUUAGUUCUUUCCCACAUCCUCCUACAACCUCUCAUUAUAAUUUUCCACAUGGUAAAACACAUCAAAUAAUAAAUUGUAUUCUGGCUGGGCAAAGUGGCACAUUCUUGUAGUCCCAGCUACCUGGGAAGAUCUCUUGAGUCCAGAAGUUCCAGGCCAGCCUGGGCAAUAUAGCAAGACCCUGUCUCUACAAAAAAUUUUUAAAAUUAGCCAAGCAUGGGGCCGGGCGCAGUGGCUCAGGCCUGUAAUCCCAGCACUUUGGGAGGCCGAGGUGGGCAGAUCACAAUGUCAGGAAAUCAGACCAUCCUGGCUAACACGGUGAAACCCCGUGUCUACUAAAAAUACAAAAAAAAAUUGGUCGGGCAUGGUGGUGGGCACCUGUAGUUCCAGCUAUUCGGGAGGUUGAGGCAGGAGAAUGGCGUGAACCUGGGAGGCGGAGCUUGCAGUGAGCCAAGAUCGUGCCACUGCACUCCAGCCGGGGCAACAGAGUGAGACUCUGUCUCAAAAAAAAAAAAAAAAAAUUAGCCAAGCUUGGUGGUGCACACCUGUAGUCCCAGCUACUUGGGAGGCUGAGGUGGGAGGUUAGCUUAAGCCCAGCAGUUUGAGGCUGCAAUGAGCUAUGAUUGUGCCACUGCACUCCAGCCUGGGCACCACUGUAGUCUAGCCUGAGCGACAAAGCAAGACCUCGUCUCUUUAAAAAAAAAAAAAACCUGCUUUCUGGAGUUCUCUGUCAUCUCCAAUCUGAAAGUUUCUGUUGUCUAGGUCUUUUGUACACAUAUUAUUUUAGGAUUUCUUUUCGUCAUCGUUGCAGAAAUUCCUUUAGCUUCUGGAUUGGAUCGCCUGUUUCUUAAAUUCGUAUCUUCUUCUUUCUUGGUUUAAUCUCUGGUUUUGGUAGGGCACAUUCUCCACUAGCUACCUCCAUAAUGAAGAAGCAGUCUCACAAUGUAAUUUAGGAUGGGGGCUUGUGGUGGAGGUGGUGGUAUUAGUUCUGCCACUGGAGGAACUGGAGACUCCAGGUAUCAGCCUGAUCUCCAGAAGAGCUGGACACUGAAGGUCAGCCGUGUUGUAACUGCCCAGUGGGUUCACCUUGCCCCGCUGAGUUAGUUCCAGGGCGGGGGCCAUAGGAUCAGAUAAGUCAGUUUAUCGAUCUAGGUGGUGCCAGCUGAUCCAUCGAGUGCAGGGUCUGCAAAAUAUCUCAAGCACUGAUCUUAGGGUUCACAAUAGUGAUGUUAUU